GGAUGGAAAGGGAAGGGAAGGGAAGGGAAGGAAAAGGAAGGGAUGGGAUGGGAUGGGAAGGGAAGGGAAGCGAAGAUAAAGUAAGGGAGAGGAAGGGAAGGGAAGGGAAUAGGAGGGAAGGGAAAGGAAUAGGAGGAAAGGUAACUGAAGGGAGGGAAAUGUAAGGAAAUGGAUGGGAAGGGAAGGGAAGGGAAGGAAAGGAAAAAGAAGGGAAAGGAAUGAAGGAAAAGUAAAUUAAGAUAAAGUAAUAUAUGACUGGAAAACAAGAUAGCAAGAUAAGAUAUGCCUCACCACUCUUCACAUAAUAGUAAACAAGAAGAUAUUGAUGUUUAUGAAGGAAAAAACAGAAGAAAUUAGGUUAGGUAAGGUGAGGUAAUGAUUAUUUAAGAUAAUGCAAGAUAAUGAACAAGAUAAGUAGCCUUUUGCAAUGUGAAAGAGAGGAAAUUGCAUAUAUAAAUAACACUUUAGAGUUAUUUAAGAGGCUAGAGGAGGAGGAGGGGGAAGAGGAGGAGGAGGAAGAGGAGAUAUAAGGAAAACCAGAGAGAGAGAGAGAGAGAGAGAGAGAGAGAGAGAGAGAGAGAGAGAGAGAGAGAGAGAUGAAAGGGAUAGGAAUGAAAAGGAAAACUUACAUUGAACAAGUUAGCAAGAGAAUAUGAAAAGGAAGAAGAAGAGGAGGAGGAGGAAGAGGAAGAGGAAGAGGAGGAGGAUUAUGAAUAAGGAGAAGCUGGAAGAGAGGAGAAAGUGUGUGUUUGUGAAGGAAAAACACAUACAAGCAAAUAACUUACACAAAUAUACACAAAGAAAUAAGACAGCAUUAAGGAAUAAGACAGAAGAAGAGGUUGAAAAGGAUGAGAGAAAAGAAAGUGCUUAUAUUUGUGAAGGAAAAACAAAUUAUAUACACAGAUAAUAUAUUCAGAUCAUUAAACAAGGCUGGAAGGAGGAGGAGGAGGAGGAGAAGGAACCGUAGGAACAGGAGGAUAUAUUGGUGAAAUGAGACAGUUAGCGGAAAAAUAAUUAUGAAGGAAAAACAAAUUAUAUACACAGAUAAUAUAUUUAGAUCAUUAAACAAGGCUGGAAGGAGGAGGAGGAGAAGGAACCAUAGGAACAGGAGGUUAUAUUAGUAAAAUGACACAGUUAACAGAAAAAUAAUUAUGAAGGAAAAACAAAUUAUAUACACAGAUAAUAUAUUUAGAUCAUUAAACAAGGCUGGAAGGAGGAGGAGGAGAAGGAACCAUAGGAACAGGAGGUUAUAUUAGUAAAAUGAGACAGUUUGCGGAAAAAUAAUUAUGAAGGAAAAACAAAUAAAUUAAUAUCACCGUUUAUGAGCCUAAAAAACAUCAUUAAAACAACUUCAAUAGCAACGAUUUCACCCAAUCAAUAAGUAAAUUCUAUAUAAAUAAUCAGACUCGAGGCAGAAAAAUAUACCCAUACGUUCAUUGUCAUAACGCGACGUGGGUUUUAGAAUAUGGUGAUGGUGGUCGAGAGGUUAUAUAUCAAUUUGCUGGGGACUGGUUAAUAUAAUACUUACAUAUAGCUAGAUUAUCAAUAGUGGGGCUUAGGUGCUGGGUUGAUGGCCUAGUGGGGUUAGUUAUAAUAUAUCGAAGCUAGUUUAGAGAUUGUAGGGGAUCCGUUUAUUUUGUGGGGCUAUGUAAAAAUUGGGAGGUCUAGCUCAAUAAGUAGGCUAGUAACUUAGGAGGGGCUAGGUUAUUGAUUUCAUGGGGUUAGUUCAAGUUAGGUGGGGCUAGGCUAGUGACAUCUGUAGGCCUAGUUAAUUGGGUAGGACUAGUUCAAGAGUUCAGUGGGGCUAGGCUAGUGUCUGGUGGGGCUCAUUUAAUCAUUUGGUGGGGCUAGGCUAGUGACAUCUGUAGGGCUAGUUAAUUGGGUAGGACUAGUUCAAGAGUUCAGUGGGGCUAGGCUAGUGACUGUGGUGGGGCUCGUUCAAGUUAGGUGAGGUUAGGCUAGUGACAUCUGUAGGCCUAGUUAAUUGGGUAGGACUAGGCUAGUGACUGUGGUGGGGCUCGUUCAAGUUAGGUGAGGUUAGGCUAGUGACAAGGGUGGGACUAGCUUAACCCGGUAACAGCGGGGAUCGUGUUUCUUAAUCGCCCUUCCCUCUAAGCGAGAAAAAUGAGAAAAAAUCAUCACUCACGCAAACCAUUUCAUAAUAUAUAUCAACGCGUUUGUGAUCCGUUUAUGCAUCAUCUAUUUUGGGGGGUUUAUAUCAUGGCAGCAAUUAGGCUCGUCGCUGGUUCAUGGUAAAGCCGCAAAUUUGGCCUAUCGCUGCUAUUGGGUUAAUGAUCUAAUGGGGAUAUUUAAUAAUUUGGGGGGGGCUAUUUUAUCUUUAGGUAGGGAUGACUUAAAUAUUUUGUGGGGCUAGAUUAAGACUGAUACCAUUUCCAAGAUUAGUAAUUAUUGUAGACCUGGAAACAGGGCUCAGAAGGUACAGACUCCCAUGGAUGAGUCUUAAUAUGUGUGGUUUGUGCCUUGUGGUAUGUGAGAGUGUGUGUUUGUGAAAGGGGAGAGACUGUUUGUGUAUUUCAGGUGGCAAAAUAGGAUGCCCAGUGCCGAUGUAGCUUACAGAUGUGGAGUAGAGGACCUGGAAACAGUGCUCAGAAGGGAAAGACUCCGAUGGUUUGGACAUGUGAAGAGAGCAGGGGAGGACACAGUGCUGGGAGUUUUGGAGACAUUGGAGGCAGGAGGCCAGUUGGUAGACCUAGGAAAAUGUGGAGAAGGUGAAAACAGGAAGACUUGGCAUUGAUGGGAUUGGAUGAGCUUUGGAGUAGAAUGGAGGAGAGAGAGAGAGCAGGGGAGGACACAGUGCUGGGAGUUUUGGAGACACUGGAGGCAGAAGGAAGGAGACCAGUUGGUAGACCUAGGAAAAUGUGGAGGUGUAUACAGGAAGACUUGGCAUUGAUGGGACUGGAUGAGCAUUGGAGUAGAAUGGAGGAGAGAGAGAGAGAGAGAGCAGGGGAGGAUAGUGCUGGGAGUUUUGGAGACAUUGGAGGCAGAAGGAGGCCAGUGGGGAGGAUACAGUGCUGGGAGUUUUGGAGACUGAAAAUGGACAGUAAAUGAAAUUAUGAUUAAUUAUUGUAAUGUGAUAACUACAAAAAAAGAUUGCAUAAAUUUGUAGACAGAAAACAUGUCUCACAAAACACACACACACACACACACAUAUAACACAGAACAAACACCACCCAUUUCACACACACAGGGUCAAUAUCACACCCUGAGGUAGACCCAAUCACCCUGAGGCCCCAAGGGUUUCUUUUCACAGGGGGGGUGGGGUGGGGGGCAGAAAAUCAAUAUCUAAUGCAAAUUUUCCCAGGGUACAUUACAAGGGCAACCCCACACAAUGAUCUACCCCAGGGUGUGUGUAUCUCUUCCCCAGGGGCAGCAGUGUGUCCUGAGGCAAAUAAAUGGCAAGAAAAUCAAUGAAUAAUGCAAGUUUUCACUAAGCUUUCCCAGGGCACGUAGACUGGACAGCCCCACAUUAUGACCGCCUACCCCGGGGUGUGUUAUUUCCUCCCCUGGGGCACCGUGGGGGAGGGAAACGCAAGAACAUGGCAAAUCAAUAAUAAGGAGAGUUUUCACCAAGCUUUCCCAGGGCACGUAGACUGGACAGCCCCACACCAUGACCGCCUACCCCGGGGUGCGUUAUUUCCUCCCCUGGGGCACCGUGGGGGAGGGAAACGCGAGAAAAUGGCAAGAAAUCAAUAAAAAGGAUAGUUUUCACCAAGCUUUCCCAGGGCACGUAGACUGGACAGCCCCACACCAUGACCGCCUACCCCGGGGUGUGUUAUUUCCUCCCCUGGGGCACCGUGGGGGAGGGAAACGCGAGAAAAUGGCAAGAAAUCAAUAAAAAGGAUAGUUUUCACCAAGCUUUCCCAGGGCACGUAGACUGGACAGCCCCACAUUAUGACCGCCUACCCCGGGGUGCGUUAUUUCCUCCCCUGGGGCACCGUGGGGGAGGGAAACGCGAGAAAAUGGCAAGAAAUCAAUAAAAAGGACAGUUUUCACCAAGCUUUCCCAGGGCACGUAGACUCGUCAACCCCACACUUCACAC